rnacentral:rRNA from 1 species
AGGGAUAGCAUCGGGAAACCGAGUGGUAAUACCUCAUGAUCCCCGGUUGUCGCAUGGCAAGCCGGGGCAAAGGUUUACCGACCGGGGAUCGGGAAACGUCCUAUCAGGUAGUUGGUGAGGUAACGGCUCACCAAGCCUUAGACGGGUAGCGGGCGUGAGAGCGUGACCCGCCGGAUCGGGACUGAGACACUGCCCGGACUCCUACGGGAGGCUGCAGUAACGAAUAUUCCGCAAUGCGCGAAAGCGUGACGGAGCAAUGCCGCGUGAAGGAUGAAGCCCCUCGGGGUGUAAACUUCUGUCAGGGAAUAGGAACAAAAUGACCGUUCCCAAAGGAAGGGCCGGCUAACUUCGUGCCAGCAGCCGCGGUAAUACGAAGGGCCCGAGCGUUGCUGCGGAAUCACUGGGCUUAAAGGGUGCGUAUGCGGAACUGUAAGUACUUUGUGAAAUCCCUCGGCUCAACCGGGGAAUUGCUUGGUAUACUGCGGUUCUUGAGGCCAGUAGGGGCAGCCGGAACUCUAGGUGGAGCGGUGAAGUGCAUAGAUAUCUAGAAGAACGCCAAAGGUGAAGACAGGCUGCUGGGCUAGACCUGACGCUGAGGCACGAAAGCGUGGGGAGCAAACAGGAUUAGAUACCCUGGUAGUCCACGCCGUAAACGUUGUGCACUAGGUCCCGGAGGUUUAGACGCCAUCGGGGCUGGAGCAAAAGUAUUAAGUGCACCGCCUGGGGAGUACGGUCGCAAGGCUAAAACUCAAAGGAAUUGACGGGGGCUCACACAAGCGGUGGAGCAUGUGGCUUAAUUCGAAGCAACGCGAAGAACCUUAUCCUGGGUUUGACAUGUAUGGAUUAACCUCGUGAAAGCGAGGCCACGCCCUUUGGGUGGAACAUACACAGGUGCUGCAUGGCUGUCGUCAGCUCGCGCUGUGAGGUGUUAGGUUAAGUC